UACGUAGGUGGCAAGCGAUACUCGGAAUCACUAGGCGUAAAGCGCAGGUAGGCGGUUUGGUAAGUCUCUUGUGAAAGCUCCCGGCUUAACUGGGAGAGGUCAAGGGAAACUACCGGACUUGAGUGUGGUAGGGGAUACUGGAAUUCCUGGUGUAGCGGUGAAAUGCGUAGAGAUCGGAAAGAACACCAACGGCGAAAGCACUCUGCUGGGCCGACACUGACACUGAGAGACGAAAGCUAGGGGAGCGAAUGGG
rnacentral:rRNA from 1 species